CAAUCCUUCCCGUUAGGGGUUUAGUAUCAUACCAUCAUAACAUAUAUGAGAAGAACAUAACCCGUGUCAUGCCAACAAUUUUAACAUACAUGUAUAUGCAAAAUUCUUUUGAUUUAUAGACUUUCCUCCUGUUUAGUAUGUUUGCUAUUACAUUUUGCGUUUUGUCUUUUGCGAGUUACAUGUAGUCUACAAUCAUGCAGGCGAUAUGCUUAAGACAUGGUGCAAACUUGGCAGUAUUUGAGACCUUGGAUGAAUUGCUGUUAAUAAAACGUGAAUUAAAAAAGAUGAAUACAGUUUCUACAUAGGUGGACGUAACAUCAACAGAUAUAUUUCUGGCGUAGAUUGGAGAUGGAUAAGGAAUGGAAAGAUGGCCAAGAUGAAUUACUUAGCAAUCGGUACUGGACAGCCGAACGGAUUUUUUGGUAGCCCAAAAGACUGUUUGUUAAUCUACGUUCAUGAUCGUUAUAACCUCCAUGACGGUUGUUGCGACUCCUCCUUUGAAGGUUGUAUCUGCGAAAAGUAAUUUUAUUAGAGAACAUUUUUAAGUAUUUAAAUGUGUUAUGUCUAAAGUCGAAUGCUUAUGUUUGAUAUAAUAAAUCUGAAUCUAU